GACGAACGCUGGCGGCGUGCUUAACACAUGCAAGUCGAACGGUAAGGCCCUUUCGGGGGUACACGAGUGGCGAACGGGUGAGUAACACGUGGGUGAUCUGCCCUGCACUUGGGAUAAGCCUGGGAAACUGGGUCUAAUACCGAAUACACCCUGCUGGUCGCAUGGCCUGGUGGGGGAAAGCUUUUGCGGUGUGGGAUGGGCCCGCGGCCUAUCAGCUUGUUGGUGGGGUGAUGGCCUACCAAGGCGACGACGGGUAGCCGGCCUGAGAGGGUGUCCGGCCACACUGGGACUGAGAUACGGCCCAGACUCCUACGGGAGGCAGCAGUGGGGAAUAUUGCACAAUGGGCGCAAGCCUGAUGCAGCGACGCCGCGUGAGGGAUGACGGCCUUCGGGUUGUAAACCUCUUUCAAUAGGGACGAAGCGUAAGUGACGGUGCCUGCAGAAGAAGCACCGGCCAACUACGUGCCAGCCGCCGCCGUAACAC
rnacentral:rRNA from 1 species